UCCACGGUUGCGUGGAGUGGCGGCUGAGAGGAGAGGCAAUAACAACUCGUUGUCCGUGACGGCCCGAGCGUUUGCGAGAGGGGAUGGAGCGGGGGUUGCAUCGUCACGGCCAGUUGCCAGAGUGGGUGGAGUGGUGGCCGCACGGACGCGCUCCUAGAGGUGCCGGUAUGCACCCUGAUUUUGAGCCUGGGAGGUUCCUUGCUCUGCCCUAUCCUCAAGGGUGUUCAUCUACUUUGGUAUCGUGCUCUGGAGUCAGGACGAUGCACUAAUGCAGGUUUGAUUCUUUACUUUUUCUUUUGUUUUAUUUGUAUACAUAUCCCUGAAUUUUGUGAGCCGUGAUUUAAAUGUUGUCGUGUGUGCCAUUGUCUCCUAUAUAAUUAUUCUAUUGAAGCACCGCUGCAACCCAGUUUGUUUAUCAAAUUGAUGCAAGAAACAAACUAAUACAUAGAGAGUAUAAAUUUAUUGCAUUAAUCUGUAUAUCCCUGCACCUACCGAUAGGUAGAGAUGGAUAAAUUUUGUAGCUUUUUGAUCCCGGUUUUUCCUAUUGAAAUUAUGGAUUUGGAAGCUAAUCAUGGAGUGUUUCGAUUGCCUGCUUACGGAAUCGCAAUAAGCACAAGUCUGCAACCUUGAAGGAAAACCCGUUGCAACUGAUGACAUAAUAUUACGUUGCAACAAGAAUGUAUAGAGCUGCAGAGCUCUGUGGAUCCUUCUCUUCACAAAAGGCGAGAAGCGGAGGCGUGUGCCUAGAGUAGCGGACCAUGAUGGAUUGAUGAGCUGAUGUCACGUGACGUACUCACGCGGCGGUUGUUUAGGCUCCGGCGGCUGGAGCCAUCAUCGACCAUGAUGCCGCGCCAGGAGCACAAGGGCUAAGACGAGGACAUGUUGGUGCCGAUGAAAUAAGGUUUAUUGGGUCGUCCUCUUCCAGCAACAUAUUACACAAUCUAUUUAAGCCGAUUGAUUCUCUUUGGUACAAAUGUCCCUCAUUUAGUUGAUGAAACUCUACCUUCAUAAAAUUAAUUGAGUUGGGAACCAUAACAUAUAUACAUCUAUGACUGGUAUCUAUUUGGCUAUAUUAAACUGACAAUUUAUUCAUUUUACUGGAAGGAUAUGUCGUGAAGAUGAUUAAUUCUACAAACUAUACUGCUAAUUCAUCGGAAAUGACUACCAACUUGUUUAAUUCCGCAUGUGCAGGUGCUGCCGGUUGAUGGGGGCCUAACCAUGAGUCUAACUGAAAGUGAACGGGAGCGAUGUGCAGAAAAAAAUCUUAGCAUAUAGGCUGAAUUUGUAUAGUACUUCGAAUUUAUUAGGCAGUACCCCCUCCAUUUGUAUAUCACUUCCGAAUACAAGUUCAGGUUAUUAGGCAGUACUAUUGAAUUUAAGGAUUGAUACUUGAAGAUUUUAAAAUGUUACUAAAUUUUGUACCAAGUCUACUGUUAUGUAUGGGAAGAACAUGCGCUAAAAUAUUGAUAAUGCAAAUGAAAGUGAUCGUUUGAUUAUUAAA